AUACGGAAGGUGCAAGCGUUGUUCGGAUUGACUGGGCGUAAAGAGCACGUAGGCGGGCUUGUAAGUCGAAUGUGAAAUCCCCGGGCUUAACCUGGGAACUGCAUUCGAAACUAUAGGUCUUGAAUACCUGAGAGGUUAGUGGAAUUCCUGGUGUAGGAGUGAAAUCCGUAGAUAUCAGGAGGAACACCAGAGGCGAAGGCGGCUAACUGGCAGUGUAUUGACGCUGAGGUGCGAAAGCGUGGGUAGCAAACAGGAUUAGAUACCCUGGUAGUCCACGCCGUAAACUAUGGAUACUAGGUGUUUGGGGAAUUAACCCCCUGAGUACUGAAGCUAACGCAUUAAGUAUCCCGCCUGGGGAGUACGGUCGCAAGGCUAAA
rnacentral:rRNA from 1 species